GAUCUUUCUGUUUUGAGAUGUUCACCAAUUGACCUUCUAUUUCAAAUAUUUGUGUUCGUGUGUGUGGUGUGUGUGUGUGUAUGUACCUUUUUAGAUUCAUUUGACUUAAUGUGAGGCUUGUUAGUGUCUUGUUACGCUUGUUGGAACUAAAGUCAAACCACUUUAAUUCUUAUGGAAACUAGAGGGAACGAGUAAAUAGAAUCUUGACGCUUGUGUCAUCUUGACCUGGUGCAACACAGGGAGCUCAAGAGCCAGGAAGAUGGACUGUAUAUUGUAGACAUAAGGUCAAGUGUCUGUCCUCCAAAGCUUCCUGUCUAUUCACUAUUCUGGGACAUUUCUAGACUAUGCAAUAUUGUCAAAAUCCUUGCCUAUUGGUAUUUACAUCCUUAAAUGACAUUAAGAGUUAAGAAAGGAAGGAAGGAAAGAAGAAGGAAGAAAGGAAAGAAGACAGAAGGAAGAAAGGAAGGAAGGGGCCAGUUAGUAAAUAAUUACUACACAACUCUGGAAAGGAGCCAUGUUAUUGGAUUAGUGAACAGUAGUGGACAGUAUGUGAUAUCAUGACUUUCAGGUCAUUCUUCAACAUUCACUGAAGACAUCAGCAUCAGCACCACUUCAGUAAGCCCCACUGGAACCCCGAGGGACUCCAACAUCCAUGUGUAACAACAGUAGAGGAAAAUGAUGGACAGCACAGCUUCUGAACCAGACACACUUCAGUUCUCAAGAAGUCGGAUCUGAGAGCAUGCUUCCACUGCUGGAGCAUGCAUUCUGCUGGAAGAGGGGAAGAAGAGAUGAAUGAGAAAUCUAUCAAUCCAUCUCAGGGUUUCUAUGGCAACCAAUGUUGAAUUCUUCGACUUUGAUUCUUACAAAUUUGGAGCACAGAUGAUACCAAUUUGAAAUUGUUGCAUACAAGGCUUGAAUUCUUCAAAAACCAAGGAGGAUAGGAUAUUGAUUUUAUGGUAUAAAAAAGAAGAUCUGAAGAAUUGGAUUUGCCAGAUCCUGGCUUAUGCAAAUGAAACUGGCAUUGAACAGAAGGAAGAGCUAUCUGGCCAAACACUCAAACUCCAGAAUUAAAGACUUGUUCAUCUGGAGGAAUGUCAUGCAUUCAACCUUUACCACUGAUGCUUGGGUAGUUCACAAUGUUUUACAAACUCUCAUCAACACAAGGAUUAGUGGUAUGAGCAUUCAAGGGUCAAGGCCAAAUUAGCAGCUUUGUGCUUUCCAUUUUGAGGUUGAAUUCAUACACAGCUGAUAACAUUCAAAUCUCAUCUCAAGUGAUGAGAGCAGAGAAAAUGAAUUGUUGUUGCUUUAAGCAGGACACUGUCUCAUUUCGUGAAUGCAAAUGUGUCGCUCUCUGGUGCAGCUCAAGAUUCUGCUUAUUAUAAACCUAAAACAGUCUGCCAUGCUUUUUGGUGUUUGCAUUGACACAUACAAUAUCAGAGUGCACUAGGAGGAGACAUUGUAUUUUGUUUCAACUAAUUUAUUUCGUGGACACACGUAAAACACCAUUCGUACAAUGGGAAUGUCAAAAGCUUCAGAUGGCAAUUUCUAGUAAGGAAUGGUCAUGAAUAAAAUCAAAGUGGAACAAGAUGUGAUAUUUUUUCCUUUCUUCAUUUGGAAUUCAAAUAAUCUUAAGUUCUUGGAUUUAGCUUUUUUAUAUUUACAUGUAUGAAUGAAAUGCCUGUUUCAAAUAAGAUCUGUUCACGACCAGGUUACUGAGCCCC
rnacentral:lncRNA from 1 species